UACGAAGGGGGCUAGCGUUGCUCGGAAUCACUGGGCGUAAAGCGCACGUAGGCGGCUUUUUAAGUCAGAGGUGAAAUCCUGGAGCUCGACUCCAGAACUGCCUUUGAUACUGGAGAGCUUGAGUCCGGGAGAGGUGAGUGGAACUGCGAGUGUAGAGGUGAAAUUCGUAGAUAUUCGCAAGAACACCAGUGGCGAAGGCGGCUCACUGGCCCGGUACUGACGCUGAGGUGCGAAAGCGUGGGGAGCAAACAGG
rnacentral:rRNA from 1 species